AUUGAACGCUGGCGGAUGCCUAACACAUGCAAGUCGAGCGGAGUAGCAAUACUCAGCGGCGGACGGGUGAGGAAUACAUAGGAACUUGCCUUUAGGUGGGGGAUAGCUUGGGGAAACUCAAGGUAAUACCGCAUGAUCUCGCAAGAGCAAAGGGGCGCAAGUCUCGCCCUUAGAGAGGCCUAUGUCUGAUUAGCUAGUUGGCGGUGUAAUAGACCACCAAGGCGACGAUCAGUAACUGGUCUGAGAGGACGAUCAGUCACACCGGAACGGAGACACGGUCCGGACUCCUACGGGAGGCAGCAGUGGGGAAUAUUGGACAAUGGGCGAAAGCCUGAUCCAGCAAUUCCGCGUGUGUGAAGAAGGCCUUCGGGUUGUAAAGCACUUUAGUGAGGGAAGAAACAGCUUGGCCACACCAAGCCUUGACGGUACCUCAAGAAUAAGCACCGGCUAACUCUGUGCCAGCCGCCGCGGUAA
rnacentral:rRNA from 1 species